rnacentral:rRNA from 1 species
UUGACNUCAANUCAGGUAGGACUACCCCCUGAACUUAAGCAUAUC